rnacentral:misc_RNA from 1 species
GAUGAAGAACGUAGCGAAAUGCGAUAAGUAAUGCGAAUUGCAGAAUUCAGUGAAUCAUCGAAUCUUUGAACGCACAUUGCGCCCGUCAGUAUUCUGGCGGGCAUGCCUGUUCGAGCGUCAUUACGCCCCUCAAGUCCCCUGUGGACUUGGUGUUGGGGAUCGGCGAGGCUGGUUUUCCAGCACAGCCGUCCCUUAAAUUAAUUGGCGGUCUCGCCGUGGCCCUCCUCUGCGCAGUAGUAAAGCACUCGCAACAGGAGCCCGGCGCGGUCCACUGCCGUAAAACCCCCCAACUUUUUAUAGUUGACCUCGAAUCAGGUAGGACUACCCGCUGAACUUAAGCAUAUCAAUAAGCGGAGGA